GAUGAAGACGCAGCGAAAUGCGAUAAGUAAUGCGAAUUGCAGAAUUUCCGUGAGUCAUCGAAUCUUUGAACGCACAUUGCGCCCACUGGUAUUCCGGUGGGCAUGCCUGUUCGAGCGUCAUUAUCCUCCCUCAAACCCCGGGUUUGGUGUUGGACCCAAGUUGUGUGAACAACUGGUCUCAAAGACAAUGACGGCGUCCGUGGGACCCUCGGUGCAACGAGCUUUUAGGAGCACGCAUCGAGUUGCAAGGACCUUCCGGGCCGGUCUCCUUUACCAUUUUACAAGGUUGACCUCGGAUCAGGUAGGAAUACCCGCUGAACUUAAGCAUAUCAAUAAGCGGAGGA
rnacentral:misc_RNA from 1 species